GCCGUCACAGCACUGCUCCCACAGACUCUUUCACACUCUUCUUCAGUUCCUCCAGUCUCAGUGUCUCUGAUAGUGUUGAUCUCUGCUGGAUCUCUGAUGAUUGUUGCUGUAGUCAUGAUCUUCUUCAUCUGCAGGAAAUGUAGAAAAACAGUUUGGACACAGGAGGGAGACAGACCUGAUUCAAAAUUGUGUAAACCAACGACACGAAAAACGAAAUCAAAGAUGGAUGCUGUGUAUGAAAAUGUCCCAAAAAGACGGUGAUCAAAUACUGGAU